UUCAGAACAGCUGCUUCCUUUUGGUUGCUGGUGGCAGGGAUAUUAUGGAGAAAUGUGAGUGAAAGAACACAAUCCGUUUUUCUUUCUGGAGGCAAUUGACGCCUGAGACUGAGGUAUUUACCUGAGAGCCAUUGAAGUCACCAGCUUAACAGCAGGUAUUUAUCAAGCACAUACUACAUUCCAGAUCCAUUGCGUGGUGCUAGGAAUAUAAAUGAUCCCUUCCUGGUGAACCUGCUCUAUCCUAUAUGUAGCCUCUGGAGAGGAGGCUUCAUGGACACCCUCUUUUUAAAGGACAUUCUAUACAAAUGUAGCUUCUCUGGUUAAAGUAUGGUGAAGUCUGUCCUGUGGGCACUCCCCAUUGACUCCUAGCAGCUCUUGAGCCCCAUCUUCAGGAUCCAUACUUUGAUAGUCACUGACCAUUAACUCUGAAAAUCUAUAGUUCCAAUCCUGUGAAAUGAGAAGAAAGUUGAAGCUAUAAAGGAAGUCUUUGCCUGCAUUCAGAUUCUGACACCAAAAACUCCUCUGAUUAUACUGAAGUAUGUAAGAAAACCUUCUCUGGAAAUCAGGGACCGUUUCUGUUCAUCUUAUCUUGAGCUACAACCCAAAUAGGAGUACACAUAUGUAGGAUUCAAUAAAUAAUUUAAGAUAAUUGUGAACACCUUGCUCUGGCUGGUUCUAUUUUUACAUUCAGAGAGGAAAGCAUUCUGUAUUCUCCCUAUAAACAAGUCUAGGAGCACAGGGUCAUGGACAUCCUCUGUGCACAAAAUUACAGUCCGAUGUUGGGUAUCUUUCUCCUGUGAAGUGAAGGGAAAUAGAAAAGUAAACAAAGAGGACCACAGUAUAAGAUAUCACCUCAAAAUAUAAACCUGAAGACAAGAAAAACCAGGCUCAAGGAACAAAUGAACAGGAAAGUUGAAAUUCUAGAAUACAUUUGCUUUAUACCAAUAUUAUUUACAUCUUGUUUAAAUGAAAAGUUGUUUACAUACCAAUGGAUGACAACAAAGAAACAGCAUGGAAACUGGAAUCAGAGGCCUGUGUCUGAAUUUCACAUCUACCAUUGAACAACUGCAUGACAUUGGGAAAUUUACUUAGUUUCUGUAGACCUCAUUUUUCUUAUCUGUAAAAUGGCUUCCACAAUCUGAAACUCAAAGGUUUCUUGACAAGAUUGAAUGUGAUAAUUCAUGUAAGGGAUCAGGACGAAACCCAGCACAUAAAAGACUGCAAGCUAACACUGUUUACAAACACUGUUUCCAAGAAAAAAAAAAUGCUCAUUGAAACUGAAGGCACCAGUGUCUGUUGGGUUCAGCAUGUAGCAAGAUGCUCAACUAUCUGCCUCAG